CACGUAAUUAGCCGGUCCUUAUUCGUAUGGUACUGUCAUUUUCUUCCCAUACAAAAGAUUUUUACAACCCGAAGGCCUUCUAAAUCACGCGGCGUCGCUGCAUCAGGGUUUCCCCCCAUUGUGCAAAAUUCCCCACUGCUGCCUCCCGUAGGAGUCUGGGCCGUGUCUCAGUCCCAAUGUGGCCGUACACUCUCUCAAGCCGGCUACUGAUCGUUGCCUUGGUAGGCUUUUACCCCACCAACUAGCUAAUCAGACGCGAGUCCAUCUUACACCGAUAAAUCUUUGAUGAUAAUCUCAUGCGAGACUAUCAUAUCAUAGGGUAUUAUUCGUCGUUUCCAACGGCUAUCCCCUUGUGCAAGGCAGGUUACUCACGCGUUACUCACCCGUCCGCCACUAAUCCACUUAAAGUCACUCCGAAGAGAUCAUUUAAGUUUUCAUCGUUCGACUUGCAUGUGUUAUGCACGCCGCCAGCGUUAUCCUGUAGCCAGGAUCAAACUAC
rnacentral:rRNA from 1 species